GGGAGCCCAGGAGGCGGGGCGCCUGUGGGAGUCGUGGAGGGAACUUUCCCAGGCCCCGAGGCGGAUCGGGUAUUGAGUCCAUGGAGCGAGCUGAGAGCUAGAGUACAGAACCUGCUAAGGCCAUCAAACCUAUCGAUCGGAAGUCAGUCCAUCAGAUUUGCUCUGGGCCGGUGGUACUGAGUCUAAGCACUGCGGUGAAGGAGUUAGUAGAAAACAGUCUGGAUGCUGGUGCCACCAAUAUUGAUCUAAAGCUUAAGGACUAUGGAGUGGAUCUCAUUGAAGUUUCAGACAAUGGAUGUGGGGUAGAAGAAGAAAACUUUGAAGGCUUAACGAUGUCACCAUUUCUACCUGCCACGCAUCGGCGAAGGUUGGGACUCGACUGGUGUUUGAUCACGAUGGGAAAAUCAUCCAGAAAACCCCCUACCCCCACCCCAGAGGGACCACAGUCAGCGUGAAGCAGUUAUUUUCUACACUACCUGUGCACCAUAAGGAAUUUCAAAGGAAUAUUAAGAAGACGUGCCUGUUUCCCCUUCGCCUUCUGCCGUGAUUGUCAGUUUCCUGAGGCCUCCCCAGCCAUGCUUCCUGUACAGCCUGCAGAACUGUGAGUCAAUUAAACCUCUUUUCUUCAUAAAUUAC
ensembl:lncRNA PMS2P4 PMS1 homolog 2, mismatch repair system component pseudogene 4